CCUACGGGGGGCAGCAGUGAGGAAUAUUGGUCAAUGGGAGGGAUCCUGAACCAGCCAAGCCGCGUGAGGGAAGAAGGUACAGUGUAUUGUAAACCUCUUUUGUCGGGGAACAAAGGCCGGGACUUGUCCCGGGCUGCGGGUAUCUGAAGAAAAAGCAUCGGCUAACUCCGUGCCAGCAGCCGCGGUAAUACGGAGGAUGCGAGCGUUAUCCGGAUUUAUUGGGUUUAAAGGGUGCGUAGGCGGCCCGUUAAGUCAGCGGUAAAAGCCCGGGGCUCAACCCCGGCGAGCCGUUGAAACUGGCGGACUUGAGUUGGAGAGAAGUACGCGGAAUGCGCGGUGUAGCGGUGAAAUGCUUAGAUAUCGCGCAGAACCCCGAUUGCGAAGGCAGCGUACCGGCUCCACACUGACGCUGAGGCACGAAAGCGUGGGGAUCGAACAGGAUUAGAUACCCGAGUAGUC
rnacentral:rRNA from 1 species